CCCGUAUGUAAAAUGUUUACGCCCACAAACAGCGCCACCUAUAAUUUUUUCUACGGCAUCUUUGAGAACGAUGUCCCAUUCUGUAGUAAAUUAAAACAUUAAAUUAACUAAAACAUAGAAAAGUAAGUGUAAAACACAAAUUGAAAGAUAUAUUUGCAGAUGACUGUUUAUGCAUGAUACGCUGGCAAUGUGCGCAAUGUCCUUUAAUCCAAGACUGAAAAUUAGUUUGUUUCCUACGUCAAGAUGGCGGAUUUCAAUGUUUACAUUUUUUCACCUAUUUAUAAUCUGACACAAAUUCGUAUCCAAUCAUUUAUUAGCAAUUUUAUUAUUGAUCUUUGAAGAUCAUCCAAUUAAAUUUGCCGUUAGAAAGUGGCUACACGUUACCAGCCGUCGUUACAAAGUAGCCAUGUGUUUUGUGGGGAUACCUUGGGAAUGUUGUGUAUUCAAAAGUUACGGUAAAAAUCAAUGUUAUCUUCCUUAUAUUUCCAUGCAUACACAAUUUAUAACAGCAAAUCCAUUCUUAACAGACCCCAUAAGGUAAACGGACAUAUUUAACUGUCUGCUUGAGCAAAAAUUCGUGUAAAUUAGUCUGAUGGGUCGUUUAGAAUAGCACACCAGACAAACACGUGGUAGAUUGUUUAUGUUUGACAGUGUGUUUACCUGAAUUGCACGUUGAUGUUACUAUAUACUUACCAAUAACCUUUAUCGUGUUAUACUUUCAAGAGUUAUAUAAUACAUCUUACCCAAGAAAUACGUCUAGGUAGGUGCAGGGACUUCCUUUACUUGGUCCUUAACUAGUGAGGGUGUAAUGAUACAUUACAGCAUUUUUUGCAUUUGAUAUAUUUCAUGUACAUGUACAUUUUAUGUACACAAAGAACAAUGAAAGUAAAUGAACGUACAUGGGUUUAAUUCCCACCCUAGGUAUACAUUUUGACUCUCAUAACAGGUUGGAACAAAUAGAACAGAUAGC
rnacentral:lncRNA from 1 species